GACGACGACGAAGAAGAAGAAUAUAAAAGCACGUAUCCUGGUGGAAGGAGUACUAGAACACACUUUCAACUAUUUCUUGGUUCCUGGUUUCCACGGAGGUGGUGUUAAAUACUGUCUCAGAGAGAGUAUUUUUAGUCGGAGGCCGAACCGAAACGUCCAUUAGCGCACAGGACACAUUGAGGACGUGACAUCAUACCGACUGGCUCCAAACAUGUUGCUUAUGCUGUGAUGGACUGGUCACACAAGCUUUUCAACCCUCUUUCCAGCCGGCUCCCCUGGAUAGAUGCAGCAGAUUCAUAAAUAAAUAAAUUACAUUUGAAAA